rnacentral:piRNA from 1 species
UGCAAUGAACUCUUUCCUGCCAAUGUCUA